rnacentral:rRNA from 1 species
CCCUGCCAUUUGUACACACCGCCCGUCGCUACUACCGAUUGAAUGGUUUAGUGAGGUCUCCUGAUCGGCGCUCUGCAGCUGGCAACAGCAGUGGGAUGCUGAAAAGUUGAUCAAACUUGAUCAUUUAG